rnacentral:rRNA from 1 species
GUACAGCAGGCGCGAAUCUUCCACAAUGGACGAAAGUCUGAUGGAGCGACGCCGCGUGCGGGAUGAAGGCCUUAUGGGUUGUAAACCGCUGUCAGGGGGAAGAACAUCGGAAUGAACAAUACUCAUUCCGACUGACGUUACCCCCAGAGGAAGCUCCGGCCAACUCCGUGCCGGCAGCCGCGGUAAUACGGGGGAGCAAGCGUUGUCCGGAAUUAUUGGGCGUAAAGGGCGUGUAGGCGGCGAGGUAAGUCGAAUGUGAAAGUCUCACGGCUCAACCGGUGAAACUGCGUUCGAAACUACCCUGCUUGAGUACGGGAGAGGUGUACGGAAUUCCUGGUGUAGCGGUGGAAUGGCGU